rnacentral:rRNA from 1 species
AAACGCUUGAAGUCAGUCGCGUUGGCUGAGAAUCAACCUUGCUUUGCUUGGUGUACUUCUUAGUCGACGGGUCAGCAUCAGUUUUGACCAUUGGAUAAAGGUAGAUUGAAUGUGGCAUCUCUCGGGAUGUGUUAUAGCCCUUGGUCGCAUACGACGGUCGGGAUUGAGGAACUCAG